UACGGGGGGAGCAAGCGUUGUUCGGAUUUACUGGGCGUAAAGGGCGCGUAGGCGGCCACCGCAAGUCGACUGUGAAAUCUCCGGGCUUAACUCGGAAAGGUCAGCCGAUACUGCGGGGCUAGAGUGCAGAAGGGGCAACUGGAAUUCUCGGUGUAGCGGUGAAAUGCGUAGAUAUCGAGAGGAACACCUGCGGCGAAGGCGGGUAGCUGGGCCGACACUGACGCUGAUGCGCGAAAGCGUGGGGGAGCAAACAGG
rnacentral:rRNA from 1 species